AACGAACGCUGGCGGCAUGCCUAACACAUGCAAGUCGAACGAGACCUUCGGGUCUAGUGGCGCACGGGUGCGUAACGCGUGGGAACCUGCCCUUAGGUUCGGAAUAACUCCCCGAAAGGGGUGCUAAUACCGGAUAAUGUCUUCGGACCAAAGAUUUAUCGCCUUUGGAUGGGCCCGCGUUGGAUUAGCUAGUUGGUAGGGUAAAAGCCUACCAAGGCGACGAUCCAUAGCUGGUCUGAGAGGAUGAUCAGCCACACUGGGACUGAGACACGGCCCAGACCCCGACGGGGGGCAGCAGUGGGGAAAAUUGGACAAGGGGCGAAAGCCUGACCCAGCAAUGCCGGGUGAGUGAUGAAGGCCUUAGGGUUGUAAAGCUCUUUUACCCGGGAUGAUAAGGACAGGACCGGGAAAAUAAGCUCCGGCUAACCCCGU
rnacentral:rRNA from 1 species